rnacentral:rRNA from 1 species
UAAUACUCCAUAGAUCAUGGGAUCUGGAAUGACCCAUGGUUGAAAGUUCCGGCGCUUAAGGAUCGCUCUGCGGCUUAUCAGGCUGUAGUGGGUGUAACGUACCCCCUAGCCAGUGACGAGUAUGGGCCUUGAGAGAGGGAGCCCAGAGUUGGAUUCUGAGACACGAAUCCAGGCCCUACGGGGCGCAGCAGUCGCGAAAACUUCACACUGGGGGCAACCCCGAUGAGGGAAUUCCUAGUGCUAGGACAUUUGUUCUAGCUUUUCUCUAGCGUAGAUAACUAGAGGAAUAAGGGCUGGGUAAGACGGGUGCCAGCCGCCGCGGUAAUACCUGCAGCCCAAGUGGUGGUCGAUUUUAUUGAGUCUAAAGCGUUCGUAGCCGGUUUGAUAAAUCCUUGGGUAAAUCGGGAAGCUUAACUUUCCGACUUCCGAGGAGACUGUCAAACUUGGGACCGGGAGAGGCUAGAGGUACUUCUGGGGUACGGGUAAAAUCCUGUAAUCCUAGAAGGACCACCGGUGGCGAAGGCGUCUAGCUAGAACGGAUCCGACGGUGAGGGACGAAGCCCUGGGUCGCAAACGGGAUUAGAUAACCCGGUAAUCCAGAGUGUAAACGCUGCCGACUAGGUGU